CAGCAGCAGCUUCCGGCCGCGAAUGUUCUAAAAAAAUGUUUUGAUGUUGCUUCAAAACAUUUUUCUUUCGCGCUUUAGCUAGUAUUUUACUAAAGCAGCUAACCGUCAAUAAACGAGAUAUACUGAGUUCCAAGAGGCUAGUAAGUUAGCCUAGUUAACGUUAGCUGUGAAGUCAUUUUUUUGCUAGCAGCUAACUUAGCUAGUUUGUUUCUGGAGUCGACCAUUGCCGCUUUGACUGUUGCAGAAUUAUAAGUUCGAUCGGUGUGGUAAGAUUUCAAAUGAGCUAUGGCAGACCCGGCUCUGAUAGACUGAAUCCAACUCUGCGAAAUCAUUGGCUGCUGGAGAAAGUCUUAAAACCGAAGACACUUUAGAAGUACCCGUGACCUCGGAUGCAGACACUGAAGAUCCAUCCUCGCAAUCAAUCAACAAACAGGACUCUGUGGCUGGAGAUGAGGAUGAGGGAACCGCAGGUCACCCUGCUUCCAAAAAGCUGAAAGUGGAGCCUGAGAAGAAAACAGAGAGGUGCCAAAAGGUUGAGGAUGACAUACAGAAGAUGCAGGUUUGUCUCCUCAUUUUCUGAGGAGCAGCUUUAACUGCUAUGAGAUGUACAGAUGCUCUGCCUUCCCUAAAGCUGCUAUAAAGAAGUUAAGACCUUUAGGCACUGAUAGUCCAUCACAGGAUCCUCAGUCUCUCAAAAUGUGGUUAUCGCCAUGUACGGUAUUUGCUGGAGAAAUAGUGGAAGAAGCUGUGGACGUGUGUGAGAAGAGGGGAGACAUGCCUCCCCUGCAGCCCAAGCACAUGAGGGAGGCUGUCAGGAGGCUAAAGAACAGAGCAGAAUCCCAAUAUAAAGCACAAGAACAUUCUCUUCCACUGAGCCACUCAUGCCUUGCUGAUUAUAGACGGACAGAGCCAAGCAGGGAUGUAUUCCACCUUUCAGAUGGUGGCAACUUACACACCACUUUAUCAUGUUCAUUCUCUCUAUUCCAAUGUCCACUGGCAUUGGGAAUGUCUGGCCAUGAAGGCAAAUGCAGUAUACUGCUUUCAGGAAUAGUCCAACUCCAAAGUCAAUCUCUGUGUUGAGGGUAUUUCUUGGAUAUACUUGUCAAUAAUAGAACAACAUCAAGGUUUGAUGAAAAUAUUAGAUCUACUUAGUGUUUGUAUAUGUGAAGCUUUAUUAUUUGAGCUGAAGCAUAAAGCUGAAAGAAUGUAUCCAAAAUUGGUACCUUCUAGUGCCUCAUGGAAAAAAGUGUUUUAAUACAAAAUUUGUGUCAGUAACUGACGUAUUUCAAUAAAUAAAAUGUAUUAUC